rnacentral:lncRNA from 1 species
UGCAUUCGGCAAAAUAAACAAUUUUAGCAUCAUGAACAAGAAAUAUAUAAGCUAUUAACUAGGUCUGCCGGGCUCUUAGAAUAGUUCCAAGCUCCAACCUGAUAAAGCAACCAUGUCCCGAGCACUUAGGCCUUUGCUUCGGAAGCGAGAUAUAAGUCUGUCAAGGCCAUCUCUAAAACUAGGAAGGUCCCUGUUGGCUAGGGUUCUACUUGCAGUCUUUGAAUCCCUUCUUCCAAGCCUUACAGUCCAGGAUGGACCACCGACCUGAUUCGUACAAAAACAAGUAUAUUUAUUUACAUGAUUGAUAUUAACAUUUUAAUUAGCUUGAUUCACUAGAUUCGAAUGUCGAAAUUGGCAUCUCAAAGAACACAUAUUUAUACUUACAUAGGCAGAUGCAUCUCUUGCUGCAACAGCAAGGAUAUCAGCGCAGGAAACAACUCCAGGACAUAUCUUCUCCACUGCAGAUUUCGCUGUGUCGAUGACUUCAUAACCUCUAGCAGAAUCCUUAUUGGGCAGUGCAGACUUCUCGCUCUGGAUAGAUGAAGUCUCAUCCAGUAAAAUGGAGGCAUCACAACCCUGCAAGACCCAGGAUUUAGUUCCCGACAUGAGAUUAAUAUAUACAAGCUUAGGACCGUAGCAAUUGAACGGGGAUACAAGGGGUACGUACCUGAACAAAGCAAUCAUGAAAAUGCAAGCGAAUGAGAGAUGCAGCCAUUCUACGUUCUCUUGCAAUAGCAGUUUUAAUGGAAGUUCUGAUAGUAGUGAGGGCCUUUGGACAUGUUUUGUCAUAAAACUUAGAGCUGAGUUGGGCCUGGCAUGCCGGGUUCAAAAGCAGCAACAUAAACAUGAUGGCUGCGGCUUUUGCUGGAGAUAGAAAGAAUUUGGAAGCUGAAGUUACCAUUUUCUAUGGUUUUUCUCUAUAUAGCGGGAGUAAAAGAAAUGUAUUAAUGGAAAGAGAUCAGAGGAUGAGGGUGUUUCCGAUACUGGAAAAUUAAGCAAGAUAAUUAAGAGUUGAGAUGGAGAAGAAAAAAAGGUGGCGAUGAACUUAUAUAGAGAUUAGAGAUCAAUAAAUUGCACGUGAGAAGCAGUCUUAUGCAGGCAGCCAGUAAGUGUUCCAAGUUUGAUGCCUCUAACUUGAUUCAGACUUGAAAUUUUCUUUAUUUCACAAAUUUGAUGUCAAAGGUUACUCAUAAAGUUGAAUAUGCAGUCCAGUGUAGGGGUGAUUUCAUAUCACUAAUUUAAUCUCUCAACUAUGUGAAAUAACCAUGCAUUUAGAAACAAUGUAAGGAUAAUUAAUAUAAAAUAUGUGCUUAUUUGAUUCACCUUUAAUAUCUCAAUAUUUAAUUGCUCAAGUAUUGAGUUAACAAUUUCUUAUAAACACUUUUCAAAUUUAUAAUUAUAAUUAAUGAAUGUUGAGUUAUCAAACACAUUUUAAUAAAUUGAAACCAUUUGUUUGAUAAUAAGUUGGGGAUCAAUGAUUGUGGCCCUCUAAUUACCACUGGCACUGACUGCUACUUAAUAGUAAUGUGAUAACUCAUCUUUGUCAAUUUGUUUUUCUUUUUCUUAGAAAAAGAAAUUCUGAUUUAUUUUCAUAUAACUUAAAAGGGACAUAUGUUUCCUUAAGACAUGUUGACAAUAGUUGGAUAAAGUUGAAAAAUCUGAUCCACAAUGGUCCUUACGUAAACUAAAAAACUUUCUGCUUGCACUCUAUUAGUAUUAUUUAUUUUCGUCUUCUUGUUAAUAAUUCUACAUAAUUAAUGCACGUGAUUAAAUAUUAGUCUUAACCUGGAGGUAUUAUAAUGUACCAAAAGAAAGAAUGAGUAAACUUAUUAUUUGUAUGAUAAUCAAUGCACUGAAUAAAUAAAAGAAAUUCAUCCACAAAUAACAAGUAACCUUAUUUAUAUUCGCUUAAUUCUUUUAGAAACAUCCAUCAAUUUUGGCGUUUAAUGUAUUCAGCAAAACUUUUGAUCGUAAAUUUAUAGUCAAAUGAGACAUCAACUUUUUUUGUUUAGAUAUUUUUAAAUAGUAAAUUCUAGCCAUAUUUUAUUUUAACCCAUUAAUAAAAUAAUAGUAACUUCUAAAACCUUUUAAAAAUAAAAUUGAUAACCUGUUAUUACAGAUUACCAAUUAAAAUGGAGUUUGCUAAAACAAUAUAUCAUAGUUUUUAAAAAAAUUAUACUCUUAAAAUAUAUAAAAAGUUAAUUUAAUUUAUAAAAAAUAUAAAAAUAAUUGUCAUUUUUCGUAAUUUAAUAAUAAAUUUUGCGAUUAUAAAAAAAUUUAAUAUUUUUCAUAAAUUUGUCAAUUUUUUAAUAAAACAUUAAAUUUUACAAAAGUUAUCAUUUUUUCAUAUAUCAUUCAUUUUUUUCAUAACUAGUUUCACCUAUGAAAAGCUAGUGUAAUUUGUGAAAAAAUAUGAAGAUAAUUGUCAUUUUUCGUAACUUAGUCAUAUAUUUUACGAUUAUAAAAAAUUUAAUAUUUUUCAUAAAUUUGCCAAUUUAUUUGUAAAUCAUUAAAUUUCACAAUAGUUAUCAUUUUUUCAUAAUAUCAUUAAUUUUUUCGCAACUAGUAGCACUUACUAAAAAUUAGUAUAAUUUGCGAAAAAAUAUGAAGAAGAUUAUCAUUUUUCAUAUUUAGGAAUAUAUUCGCGAUUACAAAAAAUUUAAUAUUCUACAUAAAUUUGUCAAUUUUUUGUAAAUCAUUGAAUUUCACAAAAGCUAAUCAUUUUUUUUGUAAUAUCAUUCAUUUUUCUGUUAAUUAAUAUCACUUAUGAAAAAUUAGUAUAAUUUAUGAAGAAAUAUGAAGAAGAUUGUCAUUUUUCGUAAUUUAUUAACAUAUUUCGCGACUACGAAAAAUUUAAUAUUUUUCAUAAAUUUAUCUAUUUUUUCCUAAAUCAUUAAAUUUCGUAAACGUAAUAAUUUUUUAUAGUAUCACUCGUUUUUUCUAAAUUAGUAACAUUAAAGAAAAAUUAGCAUUAUUGCUAAUUAGUGAAAAAUAUAAAGAGCAUUGUCAUUUUUUAUAAAAUAUUAAUUGUUUUCAUAAUUAAAAAUUAUAAAGAGUUCAAUAAGUUGUCAGUCAUCUUUACUUAUAAAAUUUAAAAGAUAAGAAUUAAGCUAAUUAAGAAUUAAUGGUGUUAUUUUGUUUUACCUUAGAAAGUACCAUCAAAAAUAUAAUAAUAACAAUAACAAACUGUUGAAAGCAGCAAGAAGAAAGGCAUAAAAAAGGGAGAAGUUCCAGACACUGUACAGGCAGAAAAGCAUGUGCAGGGUUACUCAUCACACACCUCAAGGAAAGGGAGCAACUAUCCCUGUCAAAGGGAAAGGUCACUUCAACCAUCCCUAAAUCAAAAAGGAACAUUAGACAUAGGUCUCAAGGCAGCCAUUGUAUAGAUUAGGCUACCGUUGCAACCUUGUGUAUAUAAACAAAAACAAUCAAACUGUAAUAAUUAGAAUUCAUAUACUCAGUAAAUAUACAAUUCAUCGUCUUAAAUUCAACAUGAUAUCAUAGUAGGUUUAACCUGUACUCAUCAUCUACCCAACAUUCUUAAGCCAUGUCUCAAAACAAUAAAUUAACCAACAUAACACUAAAAGGUAACUCAAACUAUUUUGAAUGGUCAAAAUUAGUGUAUAUCGGUCUCAGCGGCAGAAGAAAGCUGGGAUUCAUCACUAGAACCAAAUAAAAACCAAAACCAAAAAGGCCAGAUGCUCCAAUAGAGGAAGAGUUAGAAAAAAUGGAGGAAUGGCAAACGACAGACCAUUCGGUCAUGUCGAUGAUCACCAACACCAUGGAAACACAAAUUUCCUGAUUCUGCAUUCUAAUGGAGUCAUCAAAGGCCAUCUGGGAAAAAAUGAAGGGAUUAUACGACCACCAAUAGAACUUUGCCCACAUAUUCAAACUUAAACAAGAACUGUCACAAAUCACAUAGGGAACAAAAAGUUCUUCGGAAUAUGCAAUAGAAAUACUAACCAGAUGGGAGGAGUUGCAAAAUUACCUUCCCCCAUCAAAUAACUCAGAAGAAAAAAAAAAGAGCAGUGCAGGACCUCGUAUAUACCUACCUGAAAGGACUGGACUCAAGCUACGAAGGCUUGAGAUUGCAGAUCCUCUUGUCAAUAGAGCUCUCUAGAAUAGACGAUGUGAUAGCAAAUAUCAAGCGCGAAGAAAUAAGAAGGAGCACCAUGAACUCAGCCCUCGAUGUUACAGAUAGCCGAGCCUAUACCACUCGACGAGAGCAAGCCCGCCAGAGGGAAGGACCGAGCGCCAUCGAGCGAUGUGACCACUGCAAGAAGCAGGGCCAUCAUCGCGAUGGCUACUGGCAUCUCCACCCACAGCUAAGGCCGUCUCUGGGGUGGGAAAGCUCUAGAGGCGUGAAGAAAGGGGAAAGAGGCGAGGAGGAGAAAAGGUUCGGCGGACAAAGUGGAAAAUAAAAUCCUAAUGAGGGGAUAAAUAUGACAAGCAACGGGUCGGGGACAUAUAACGGGGUAGGGUUAAUUGGUAGUGGGUUGGGUGCUUAUAACGGGUCUGAAGGUUAUGAGCAAACUCGACUCGACUCCAUGACCCAACCCGGCUUUGCAACGACUCGACCCGACUCUAACCCAUCUGACCCGACCUGAUUUCAAACCGGAUCCAACAUUGACCCGACCCGACUCAGACCCAGACCCGACCCGACAGUCUCGCUCCAGCUAAAUGAAUUACUAUCUCAAAUCCAAGCGCUAGUUCAGCAUCAACAACCCAGUGGGUCAAGUUCGGUAUCUAAUUCAUUUAAUUUUGUACUACCAUAUUUAAAAACAUGUCAAAAUGAUUAGGAUAUUGAUUCCGGUGCCUCUGAUCACAUGAAAUGGGACAAAAUGAAAUUGUUAAAUUUCUAUCCUGCUAAAAAUCUUCAACAUAUGACAGUUGCCAACGGAAACAAAAUCCAAAUUCAAGGUAGUGGCACCACUACACUACUUAACAAAUCUCUAAAAAUGUCUUGUUCUUACCUAACUUCAAAUCCAAUUUAUUGUCAGUUGGUAAAAUAACUAAUGAUUUAAAUUGCAAUGUUAUUUUUUCACCAUCUUCAGUCAUGUUUCAAGAUCGAAUUACAGGGAAGACAAUUGGUAAAGGACAUUAUGACAAUGGACUAUACUAUCUCAAAGACUCCACCAUUCACUAUCUUGUGUCGACAAGACCAAUCGAUCAAGGCAAGCUAAUGCAUUUACGUUUUGGGCAUCCGUCCGACCUUGUCUUGAACAAACUGUUUUAUUAUAAUUUAAAUUCCAGUCAUUAUAAUAUUUGCAAAUUUUUCAAACACACUCGCCUUCCUUUUUCUCUAUCUUCUCGUGUGUGUAAAAAAAGAUUUGAAUUAAUUCACUCUGUAUUUGGGGAUCUGCACCUGUUACAUCUUAUAAUCAUUUUCGAUACUGUGUCACUUUUAUUGACGAUUAUAUUUGCACUACUUAGGUCUAUUUAUUGAAAGGGAAAAACGAGGUAUUACAUGCUUUCAAGAAUUUUUUAAACUUUAUUAAAAAUCAAUACAUCGAAAAAAAAAAUUCAUUCUGACAAUGGUACAGAAUACAUAAACCAAAAUUUUUCAGAAUUUCUUAAAAAGGAAGGCAUCCUUCAUCAAACUACUUGCAUCAAUACCCCAGAACAAAAUGGUGUCUCAAAAAGAAAAAACAAAUAACUUCUUGAAGUCACCCAUACACUACUCUUUCAAAAUAAUAUCCCCUCCACCUUAUGGUCUGAUACACUCCUCACUGCCACAUACCUUAUCAACCAGUUACCCAGUGCCAAAUUAAAAAAUCUCAGUCCUCUAGAAGUCCUCAAGGGAAGAAAAAUUAAGUUAGGACACAUUCGAGUCUUUGGCUGCACUACUUUUAUCCAUCUUAAAAGACUUAACAAAUUUGAUAAAAGCUCCGCCAAAACCUUAUUUUUAGGAUAUUCCGUAGGAGAAAAUGGGUAUAAAUGUUAUGAUCCCCUCACAUACAAAACUUAUGUUUCCAGGGAUGUAUCGUUUCUAGAACAUGAACCCUAUUACACGAAGAAUGACCAUCAUAGUGCUACUCCCAACCACACUUAUAGGCCACACACAUUUCUAUUUCUGCAUAACCCUGUUCGCUCUGAUAACAGCAGUCCCAAUCAGGACAAUCACCCAGAGGGGGAGCAACAUCUCAACUUAAAGACAAUACCUUCAAGGGGAGAGAAUAUCACAAGCAGCAAAGAAAUCGAACCUCCUCAGGAAGAAAUUGCCUUAAGAAGAUCCACUCGACCAACCAGGCCUCUCAUCAGGUUAGGGGAUUAUGUAACCCAUAAGGUAUCAUUUCCAAUUCAAUAAUUCAUUUCUUAUGAUUUAAUGUCACAUCAGUAUCAAGCCUAUCUGGGAAACAUCACGGCACACACAGAACCCGCAUCUUUCUAUGACGCAAACACUAACCCUAAGUGGUGCAAGGCUAUGAAAGAAGAGUUUUAUGCCCUAGAAAAGAAUAACACUUGAGAUAUUGUUCCCCUACCACCAAACAAAAAAACUGUAGGGUGUAAAUGAGUAUACAAAAUAAAAUUUAAUUGUGAUGGAUCAAUCGAGAGAUAUAAGGCCAGAUUAGUAGCCAAAGGGUUUACACAAACCUAUAGCGUUGACUACCAGAAAACCUUUGCACCGAUAGAAAAAAGGAAUAUUGUUUGCAUUUUAUUAUUUAUUGCUACUAACUCAGGAUCAAGUCUAUUCCAAAUGGACUUAAAAACGUAUUUCUCCAAGGGACUCUAGAAGAAGAAGUCUAUAUAACCCUUCCUCUAGGCCACAAGUUCACAUCAAACCCGUCUUUGGUAUGUAAACUAAAAAAGGCAAUCUAUGGCCUAAAGCAGUCUCCAAGAACAUGGUAUGCCAAGCUAAGCCUUUUCCUUCUAAAUAUCAAUUUCAAUAAAUGUACUUCGGAUUCCUCUAUGUUUAUAAGACACAACCACACAUGCACUAUCAUUAUUCUGGUAUACGUGGAUGAUAUCAUCAUAACCGGUAAUGAUAAUGAAGAAAUUGAAAAGGUUAAGCAAAAGUUAAAAAGGAAAUUUAAUAUCAAGGAUCUAGGUCAACUAUCAUACUUUCUUGGAAUAGAAAUAGCCAAAUCACAUAAAGGCUUGUUUCUAUCCCAAAGAAAGUAUGUACUCGACCUUUUAAAAGAAACUGGAAAACUAUGAGCUAAACUUACAAACACUCCAAUGGAAACUAAUGUCAAACUUAAGUUGGAUGAUGGUAAUCCAUUAGAUAACAUAGGACAUUAUCAAUGCUUAGUAGGAAAGUUGAUCUAUCUAACUAUCACUAGACUCGAUAUUUCCUACGCAAUAAGUAUGGUAAGUCAGUUUAUGCAUGCUUCUCGCACUAGUCAUCUAGAGGCCAUUGAUAGAAUACUUAGGUAUAUCAAGGGAACCCCAGGACAAGGAAUCUGGAUGAAUAAAAAUAACUUUAACACUAUAAUUAGCUACUCUGAUGCAGAUUGGGCAGGAGACAGUGAUAGAAAGUCAACAACAGGAUUCUGCACUUUCGUAGAAGGAAAUUUAGUAACAUGGAAAAAUAAAAAAUAAAGCGUAGUGGCAAGAUCAAGCGCAGAUGCAGAAUAUAGAGCCAUGGCAUCUACACCAAGUGAACUCACUUGGAUCAAGCAAGUUCUCCUCGACAUGAAAAUAGAAUGUAAAGGACCUAUGCAGAUGUACUGUGACAAUCAGGCAGCUCGACACAUUGCAUCUAACCCAGUGUUUCAUGAACGUACCAAACACAUCGAAGUCGAUUGUCACUUCAUCAAAGAAAAGGUACAAUCAGGUGAAAUCAAAACACCAUUUGUCAGAAGUCAUGAUCAGCUGGCCGACAUAUUUACGAAAGCUCUCAACAAAAACAAUCAUCAAGCCAUUCUCAACAAGAUGGGUUCCAUCAACCUCUACGAACCCACCUUGAGGGGGAGUGUUGAAAGCAGCACAAAGAAAGACAUAAAAAAGAGAGAAGUCUCAGACAUUGCACAGGCAGAAAAGCCUAUGCAGGGUUACUCAUCACAGACCUCCAUGAAAGAGAGCAACCAUCCCUGUCAAAGGGAAAUGUCACUUCAACCAUAUCUAAAUCAGAAAGGAACGUUGGACAUAGGUCUCAAGGCAGCCAUUGUAUAAAUUAGGCUACCGUUGCAACCUUGUCUAUAUAAACAAGAACAAUCAAACUGUAAUAAUUAGAAUUCAUAUACUCAGUAAAUAUACAAUUCAUCAUCUUAAAUUCAACACAAACCAAUUGGAUUAAAAUUUUCUUUUCUUGUAACGGCAACUUAUUUUCUCUUCAAUUAUUUUUGUUGAUGGUCGGAAUUUAUGACUUUAGGGAUAAAACCGAACCAACUAUUUUGGACAUAAGUUGGCAAUCUGCCGUGUGAGAGUUUUGCUCGUCCUACUCAUUGCCAUUCCUAAUUCCAUAAUUAAGCCUACAAAAACAUCAACGCUGAAAUUAAUUUGUUCGCAACAUCAAGUUGCAUUGUUAAUUAAUUUGAACCCUAAUUAGUAUUGGUUAUAAACUGUAAUGUGAUGUGUAAUUUCAAAUUGGUUCCUCAUAAUUAUAUUUAUUUUAUAUAUGCGAUAUCAAUUAAAAAUUAAAUAUUGUGCUUGCGGGUCGUGAGCUAGUAUACAUUGUCAAAAAAAACAUUCAAUUGUCUUUGAUGUUUUCGUUGUAUUGUUCAUUUUUGUCCUUUAUAUGAUUGGUAUUUUAUGAACGAGGACAGUGACAAGACCAGCCAUCGACAGAGACAUUUUUCUGGCAAUAAACUUUUUACCUGCUUCCUCCCCGACUAAACAUGGUCUUAAAUAAGCAGCCUCCAGAAGGAAUCGACAUUAUUUCUAACAUCAAGAAUCUAAGCAGCCUCAGACACUGUUAUGUUAAUAAAUUCCCAGCCUCAGACAUAUCAGUAAAAAAAUUUAAUAAUUAAUAGAUAAUGUUUUUGUUUUGGAUGAUGUGAUAGAUGGAGUAUUUAUAUUAAAAAAUAAUUAAAAAUAAGAGUAAUAAGCUAAUAAUAGUAUUCUUUUAUUUAAUAAUUAAAAAGAAUUACAAAUGACGUAAACAAAUCACAUAUAGGUACUUUACACUUGAUGAAAAUAGAAAGAAUUAAAGAACAACAAAUUUAUAGAAAAAGGAAAUCACAAAAAAAGUAGUAAAAGGAUGUUUAAUCAUUGGAAAAUACACAAACUAAUUACUUGUUGACAGCACUGCAGAUUCUCCUUAUUUCACCACGAGAUGGGUUGAUAAGAUUUCCCAUCUUGACCAUGGCAGUUGCGAAAUCUGAAUUGAAAGUUUCACGAUUUUUGCUAUACUCCAACACAAUGCUGUCCGUAGAACCUCCGCUGAAAAGAACUUGAUCAGAUUGAAGAAGACCUUUCUUUUGUAUCAAAUUCUUGAAGUAAUUGUUGUCGAAGGAAUUGGGUGUGACUAGAUCGAGUGCAGCUAAAUUUGCAUCGCCCCCGACAGCAGGACAACGGCGUCUGCGAGUGCUAGCGAAUCCACCUUCAAUUUUAGUGCCAUUGCUGUAUAUCCUUUCGCGAAAUGUAAAGCAUUGAGCUUGUCCUAGAGUAUGGGAACCUGCAUUCGGCGAAAUAAACAAUUUUAGCAUCAUGAACCAGAAAUAUAUAAGCUAUUAACUAGGUCUGCCAGGCUCUUAGAACAGUUCCAAGCUCCAACCUGACAAAGCAACCAUGUCCCGAGCACUUAGGCCUUUGCUUCGGAAGCGAGAUAUAAGUCUGUCGAGGCCAUCUCUAAAACUAGGAAGGUCCCUGUUGGCUAGGGUUCUACUUGCAGUCUUUGAAUCCCUUCUUCCAAGCCUCACAGUCCAGGAUGGACCACCGACCUGAUUUAUACAAAAACAAGUAUAUAUAUACAUGAUUGAUAUUGACAUUUUAAUUAGCUUGAUUCACUAGAUUCGAAUGUCGAAAUUGGCAUCUCAAAGAACA